UUGGUGACUGUGAAGCUGAAGUUGUAUAUUAAUUGGGUUUUGGUUUGAGCAUUAAACACACAGAAACUGAGAUGGCUAGAACCACUCUUUCUUCCCUGUCUUUAUUUUUCUGUAUUCUCCUCAUAAUCACCUUCACUUUCUUCAUGCUACCUAUUCCAGUAAGAGCAGGUUUGUCUCUGUCAUUCAAUCAUCCAAUCCUUUACGAAUAAUAGAUUUUGUAAGAUUAGAUUAGUUUUUAAAUUUAUUUUUAAUCAUAUAAUCAUAAUGACUUUGUAUGUGUAAAAGUAAGAUUUCUGAAAACUGUUAUGAUAUGAAUUUGCAGAUCUGAAAAACAGGGGUCCCAAGCCAAGAUCACCUCCAUCACCCACUAGUAGCUGGCCCGGACAUCCUGGUCAUCCUCCAUCCAACCAUGGCUGAAAUAUUACCACAAAUAGUAAGGGCUUCAAGUUUUCUUGGAUUCUCAUUUUGGUUAUCAACUUUUACUGUAUUAGGUUUUAUGUUAUAAAUAACACUGUGUAAGACCACGAAAGGAUUUACCCGUCCAUGUUAUGGAAUAUUAUAGAUUAUAAGGAAAUUAAAACCUUUUUAUUAUUCAUCUUAAUUUUUACUGGGAUUUUAGCAAACAAUUACUAAAAGUAUGGUUAGGAAUUGUAUAAUUAUUCACAAUAGUUUUGUGCAUUCCUUCUUUCAAUAAUUGAAACAAUUACUAAAUAUGAGUAUGUAUUUACUAUUUACGUUAAUAAAAAAUUAAAAAUAUAUUAGAAGAUUUCAAAAUAAUUAGUUAUAUUAAAUUUUAUAAUAUUUUAAUUACAGAUAAAGGAUUAAUUUUAAAGCUAUUGUUUAGAGAUAUUGGAUUAUUUUGAUCCAAAACAAAUUUAGAAAAUGUUUUCAAUUUGAAAAUCAAGAAUCAAAUAAUAAAUUAUGAAAUCAAUUUAGCAUUACGAAGAAAAAUAUCAUUACAUUAAAAAACAUUACAGAUAUAUACAUAAGUAGGAUUGCAUAAGAAUUUAAUGAAUUACAUCAAUUCCAACAUUAAGGAGUGUGAGGAAUAAUGUAUGUGGAUUGUAAUCAGUGGUACAUAUGAACUCAUAGGAAUAAUAUAUUUUUUAGAAAAGAAAAGUUGGAUGCUGAAAAGAUAUUUACAUUAGAAACCCUUAAGACAUGGGAUUGAAUUACCAAUAAGAACUCAAAAGCUAAAUUCUCUUAUUCGGAUUAAUUUUUUGCACAUCGAUAUGAAUUUAAAGUAUAUAUCUAGCUAGCUAUCUAAAGGGGGAAAAUAGAGUGGUGUAACUUUGUUUGGAUUAUAUCAACAAUAAGAGAGCAAUGAGAUAAAUCUAAGUAAAAGUUUUAUAUGGGUGCUAUCUAGUUAGCUUUUUCAUAACAGCAUGUGACUCUUUUUGGUCAAAUAGAUGAAUCUAUGAUCCAAGACAAAAUCAUGGUUCAAAAGAUUUCUUUUUAACCUUUUUCAAACAUUUGAUUUAAACUAUCUUUUGUAGAUAUGAUUUGACGAAUAACAAUUAAGAUGCUCACACUCUUAUUUGGAUCAUACUAAAAUAUUCUUUUAAAUCAAAUUUGACAUUCCUAAAGAAGAUAUUAUUUCUCUAAUUUCAUAAAUUCCACGUGAAAGCAAUCCACGUCUCCUCCAUAGCAUAUUCCCUUUAUGUUAUUUACUCGGUCAUUCGUGUUGUUCUAUGAGGGUUUCCAAGACUACCAAUCAAUUUUUAGUAUGAAAUUUGGUCUUAGGUACAAAGUAUAAGGAUGGCUAGAAGUCCUUUUUUGUGCUAUUGCCUAAAUACCUUAUUGCUUUUUAUAGCUUUAGGGACAAGUGGUGGCAUGUCUUCCAUUAUUUAUAAUUAAUAUUAUGUUGCAUAAUAUAUAUAGUGAAGAAGACCUACCACUUCCUCAUUCAUAUCAUGUAUUGGAAGUUUCACAGAAAGCUCAACAUGUUAAAUAUGAUGAAAACUAUAUACAUAAUUAAUCCUUUGUUUUAAAUACACAUAUAGAAUUUUCUAUUUAUAAUAGAAAAAAUAUGAGUUAAAUUCAAAAUACAAAUAAAAAUUAAUAACAAAUAAUUAAACACAAAAGAUAAAGAUAAAAAAUAAAUAUAAAAUAAAUAUAAUAUAUCUAACACAACUUAUUAUAAAGUGGCUGAUUACGAACAAGCAUCACAGAAAUCUGGUUUCAGCCUUCAAAAUACUCUGGUAUGGCUUGGAUCAGAGUUUCUUCUAAGUUUGUAUCUUUCCUUGUUCUGUUAGCAAUGGCAUUUUCUUUCUUUGCACAGCUUACUUCAGUUAGUGCAGGUUUGUGUAGCUACUACCUCUUUAAAAUAUGCAAACACAUAUGAACAACAUGUGUUUAGAAUUGUAAGAUCAUUAUCACUGUCAUUAGUGUUUGGUAGAUGAUGAUGAUGAAUUAAUUAGUGCAUGAAAGUGUUUAGCACGUAAAGUAAAAGUACAUGUUGUUGCAGGUAGAAGCAUAUUAGGUAUCUUGAAAAGUUUAUAAUUAACGUGAUAGCUGUGAUCUUGAUUUGCAGAUCCGAAAGUGAGAAAAUUGGGUGUGAUGCCAAGUCCACCUCCUUCACCUGCGCGUAAUCCAUCAUGGCGUACUCUACCUCCUCGUCUUCCUCCUCCAUCCAUUUAAAUUUUCAUUUUCUGCUUAUAUCUUGUCAUUGUUAGUGAAACCAAACUGAGUAUUUGGUCAGUCUUCUUGUGUUUCGUCUGUGUUUUGUAAUAAGCCAGGUUUCAGGCACCUUUUGUUAGUUUUGUAUUGUUUUCUGCAUAAUGUACGUUGUUCAGCAUAGUAUUUUACUGUUUGGUCUGUGUGUUGCACCCCUUUAAUAUAUAAUUAUCUUCUUUGUUGGGAAAAAUAUAUUAGGUUUUCUCUAUAAAUUACACCACCAACAUAUUUAUUUGGGAGACUGCUUGGAGAACAAAUAUGUAUCAAAAUAUAAUAUGAAAUUCUCAGAAAUAGAACGACGAGAAGCGGGAGACAACAUCAUUCAAAAGAUGUACAAAAUGGACGAAAGACCGAGUAAAACCCAUCUUCGUUUUUGGAGUCAUUAAAUCCAACUUUUGCCCAUAACAUUAUGAUAAUCUGCAUAUUAAUUGGUGUUACAAUCUUUUUAAAUGCUUAGUUAAAGGAAAAUCAUUAAAUAAUAAUUCAUUUUAAAGACUAAAAGUAAAUAAUGUUGUUAUCAUUAGUAGUUGUCGUUAUCAUUUAUUUAGUAUACUGGGAUUUAACACAAAUUUCACAUGCAGACUUGUUAAUCUUCAUAACAGCAUUAAUGGGGUAGCAUCAAACACUUAGAAAAGUUAAGUCAGAGAAUAAUAUUUUAGCUAAGUGGGUCGUCCACCAGCACCCUUUUUUAUUUAACUUUAUUAACAACCAAUCAUUAUAUUUAUCUGUGCCUUUCCUUUCCAAUAAUUUUGGAUGAUGACAGUCAUCCAUUCCUAUUAUCGAGAGAGAGUGUAGGGCAUUUCAUUAAUUUAAAUGGAAAUCAGUAUAAUUCUUAAACAACCUUUAAUAUCAGUAACCAAUUAUCACCUUCACUCAAAUGCCAUUAAAAUUAGACUCGUUCUUUUCAUCACUCCAAGAGUAUCAUUCUUAAACAUGACACUCAUUAUGCUGGAGCUAUUUAAGUUUAAAAUUAUGAUGUACAAAAUUUAUUUUAGGUUUGUUUAUGGAAGCCUUUGCAUAGGAUAAAUAUCCUAAUGUAGAGUUAUGUAUUAACUAUUAUCUAAUUUUUCGUAAAUUGAUAUAAAUAUAUAUAACUAUGAGUUCAUGAUAGGUGUCAUAAAGAAAAGUUGUUUUACAUUGAGAGUUAAAGUGUUUAUAAUCAAAAUUUGUAAAAAAGAUUGUUAUUAUCAUAAUGACCAGGAAGUUUGAUGUGCAUGUAUUAAGUGCGAUUCUACAGCAAUUUUGGAGGUAAGAGUUAUGAAGGUUCAUCUCUACAAACAUGAUUUCAAGUCUAAUUAUUUGAUUUGGACGGAUCAUGGUUAAUUUAGGCUAAAAGGGGAUUUAGAUAAUAGUUUAACUUGGAUGGGUGUGAAAAAGGAUGAUGAACAAAAUGACCAAUUUAUGUCAAUGUAAGACAUGGUGCAUGAUGUUCUUACACAAAUGAGGUGUGCCAAAUAUCGAACUAAGAUAACAUGAAAGAACUCUAAAUGAAAAAAACUCAGAUUUUAUAAUAUUUAGUUGGAUGCAAAUAAGUCUAUGUAUAAAGGGAUAUCAAACUCCAAAUUAUCAGUGUCAGAUCAUUAGCUUGUAAGUCCAAUUGAAAUAUUUCUAAGCGAUACUUAAAUUUUAUUGCAAAAAAUUUAUGGAUAAAUUUAUAUGUAAUUACUAUGAAUAAAUCCAUAUAUAAUUAUUUACGAAUUUAUUUGUAAGUAACUAUUGCUAUGACAUUUUACUUACUUGUAAAAAAUUUGUAAAUAAGAUUUUAUUUAUGGAUUUUAUGACUUAUCUAUAAAUUUUGUUUUUGGAGGUAAUGUUCUUUUUUUUUUUUUUUUGCUUAUAGUGAUAGCUUAAUAACAUUACCUGGAACUUUCCUUUUAGAAUAGCUUUUAUGGAUUGGCCAUAAGAAAAAAAAAGUACAAGAUAUUAAUUUUAUUAGAUUCUUUAAAAAAGUUGAUAAAUAAUUCAUAAUAUAAUAUGAUGAUGCAAACGUUAAAAACAAAAGCAAGUUAUUUUUCUGUUUAUUUUUGUUACCAAAACGCGUUACCUUUAUUAUCUUUAUUGACCUAAUUUCUAUAAGAAAUUUCACUGAAAGCUCAAAAAGAUGGCAAAUUUAGGGUUGGUGACUGUGAAGCAGAAGUUGUAUAUUAAUUGGGUUUUGGUUUGAGAAUUAAACACACAAAAACUGAGAUGGCUAGAACCACUCUUUCUUCCCUGUCUUUAUUUUUCUGUAUUCUCCUCAUAAUUACCUUCAGUUUCUUCGUGCAACCAAUUCCAGUAAGAACAGGUUUGUCUCUGUUACUGAAUCAUCCAAAACGUAAAUUAAAGAGGAGA
rnacentral:lncRNA from 1 species